AGAGUUUGAUCAUGGCUCAGGAUGAACGCUAGCGGCAGGCUUAAUACAUGCAAGUCGAGGGGCAGCACGGGUAGCAAUACCUGGUGGCGACCGGCAAACGGGUGCGGAACACGUACGCAACUUUCCCAUAACUGGUGAAUAGCCCUCCGAAAGGAGGAUUAAUACACCGUAACAUAAUGAAGAGGCAUCUCUUUAUUAUUAUAGGCUUCGGCCGGUUUUGGAUGGGCGUGCGCCUGAUUAGGUAGUUGGCGGGGUAACGGCCCACCAAGCCUGCGAUCAGUAACUGGUGUGAGAGCACGACCAGUCACACGGGCACUGAGACACGGGCCCGACUCCUACGGGAGGCAGCAGUAAGGAAUAUUGGUCAAUGGACGAAAGUCUGAACCAGCCAUGCCGCGUGAAGGAUUAAGGCCCUCUGGGUUGUAAACUUCUUUUAUCUGGGACGAAAAAAGGGUAUUCUUACUCACUUGACGGUACCAGAGGAAUAAGCACCGGCUAACUCCGUGCCAGCAGCCGCGGUAAUACGGAGGGUGCAAGCGUUAUCCGGAUUUACUGGGUUUAAAGGGUGCGUA
rnacentral:rRNA from 1 species